AGCUGCUUUUUACCAGGCUAACAGCUAGCUAGAUGUCUGCUGGCUUUUCACCAAGAUUUCACUAUUUCAAUUUCUUCUCUUCAGGAUUUAUUAGGUGAUGAAUAUACAGCAAUCUAUGAAAGGGCUGAGCAGCAUCAAAAGAAGGGACGGGCUGCGCGGCUGGGAGCAGGGAUUACCGCGCUUCUCUGCCGCUCACUCACUGCUUACCACGGGCAACACCAGCACCGAGGAACUGCUGGAAACCCUGUGCUUGGUGAGAUGUGAAACUGAAGACGACUUGAACACAAGAAAAAGUCUGACACAUAAUGCGACAGAAUAAGACGUAAUGGGCACUGCAAUGACCAAGACCUUGGGACGCUUGGUAAGAAUAAAAGCAUGAAGAACAACACAGUGAAGAGAAAAAGAGGAACAUGCUGGCAUCCUUACUGACUUCCUGGUAAGAGAGAUUCAGCAGCAGCCAAGGGCAACAUCACAUCCCACAGGACUGCCGGAGUGGCCUGCCCCUCUGUGCUUUGCAUCAUGUAGGUGCUCAAAUGUUGCACAGAAUUAGAUCAUAUGAACAACUAACCAAACAGAUACCCACUGUCAAUUUACACAGAUGGAACAUAAAUACCAACACCUGCUCUCUUACUCUGGCAGCCAGAAAAAUGUCCCAGCUAAAGCCACGCUCACCACUCUUUCCAGAGCCCCCUACCAACUCUCCCUAUCCUUCCUCUUCAUGAUAGCUGAUGCCUACACUUCUGUAAUUAGUUUUAAAACAGCAGAGCAGUAGUGGAUUGCAGAGAGCACUUUACAGAAACUGCUGAAUUAAAAAAACGAACAACCCUUUCCACUUGAUAUAUUGUCAGGUAGAUGAAACACCAAAGUAGCACAGCAGCACUAGGAUGGCCCAAUGUGUUGGGACUGCUGUCUUCCAUUGAAGGUAUCUAGGUCCACAGUCGGGUUAGAACUGUUUUUCAGGCACAGACACUUAUUUCUGACCAGUAGUGUUCGCCAUAAACUGGAAUAUAUGUAACAAUCAUCCUCUGGCACCAGACACAUCAGAUUUUUGUUAUUCCCAGGCUUAGUUAAUGAGGAAAACCCCUUAAAUCCAAGUGAAAGAUCAGAGCAACAUUUGUUGUUCACUAUCACUAUUUACAUAGAAAGAAAUUAUGGGAUUUCCCAGCAAGAAAAACUAAAAUCUCCAGCUGAAACUAGUAUGAAAAUGGAGUCAGCUAUCUUUUCCAAGAACAUGAGGAUGCUUAAACCAUCCAAGGACCUUGGAAAUUUAUCAUCUGACUUCAACCUCAACCUUUCGGCACAAACUAAAAAGAAAAUCAAGACAGGCAACAAGAAACAAUUGCUUUCAUCACCUGAAUCCCAUUCUUUUUGAUCCAUAUGCUCUGUGGUUUUCAUUGCCUGAAAGCACCCAUUAUGAAAGAUCUACAAGGAGACAGAGACAACUGCAAUGUUACUGUUCUUCUAAAUGUUAGUCUUACAAAAAGAAGAAAGAAAAAUUAUGUCAGAGACAAAAAGGUUACCUAUUUCUUUGCAUGUCUAAGGCUCAGACAGAGAACUGCAUAAUGUUCCUAAAUUCAAGAAAGAAAACCAUUAAAAGUAAAAUACAUU